rnacentral:misc_RNA from 1 species
AACUUUCAGCAAUGGAUCACUGGGCUCUCGCAUCGAUGAAGGACGCAGCGAAAUGCGAUAAGUAAUGUGAAUUGCAGAAUUCAGUGAAUCAUCGAAUCUUUGAACGCACCUUGCGCUCCUUGGUAUUCCGAGGAGCAUGCCUGUUUGAGUGUCAUUAAAUUCUCAACCUUAUCAAUUUUCACAAGUUGGUAAUGGCUUGGACUUGGGGGUUUUUUGUUGGCUUCGUCAAGAGGUCUGCUCCCCUUAAAUGUAUUAGCCGGUCCCCUGUGGAAUCGUCUAUUGGUGUGAUAAUUAUCUACGCCGUGGGCCUUCACUUUAAAUGGGUUGUACUGCUUCUAACCGUCCGUUAAGUCGGACAAAUAAUGACAAUUUGACCUCAAAUCAGGUAGGACUACCCGCUGAACUUAAGCAUAUCAAUAAGCGGAGGCU